rnacentral:rRNA from 1 species
GAUGAACGCUGGCGGCGUGCCUAAUACAUGCAAGUCGAACGCUUCACUUCGGUGAAGAGUGGCGAACGGGUGCGUAAUACAUAAGUAACCUGGCAUCUACAGGGGGAUAACUUAUGGAAACGUCAGCUAAGACCGCAUAGGUGUAGAGAUCGCAUGAACUCUAUAUGAAAAGUGCUACGGGACUGGUAGAUGAUGGACUUAUGGCGCAUUAGCUUGUUGGUAGGGUAACGGCCUACCAAGGCGACGAUGCGUAGCCGACCUGAGAGGGUGACCGGCCACACUGGGACUGAGACACGGCCCAGACUCCUACGGGAGGCAGCAGUAGGGAAUUUUCGGCAAUGGGGGAAACCCUGACCGAGCAACGCCGCGUGAAGGAAGAAGGAAUUCGUGAUGUAAACUUCUGUCAUAGAGGAAGAACGGUGGAUAUAGGGAAUGAUAUCCAAGUGACGGUACUCUAUAAGAAAGCCACGGCUAACUACGUG